rnacentral:tRNA from 1 species
GAGGGUAUAGCUCAGGGGUAGAGCACAUGUUUAGGACUCACAAGGUCUUGGGUUCAAUCCCCAGUCCCUCCA